rnacentral:rRNA from 1 species
GUCCUUUUGAUUUUAAUUUAAGGUCUGACCUGCCCAAUGAUAAUUUAAAUGGCCGCAGUAUUUUGACUGUGCAAAGGUAGCAUAAUCAUUAGUUUUUUAAUUAAAAGCUUGUAUGAAGGGUUGGACGAGAUAAAAUCUGUCUUAAUUUAAUUUAUUUUAGAAUUUAAUUUUUAAGUUAAAAAGCUUAAAUUUUUUUAAAAGACGAGAAGACCCUAUAGAUCUUUAUAUUUUUUUUUAUAUUAUUAUUAAGGAAUUUUUUAUUUAUUAUAAAAAUAAUUAUUUUAUUGGGGUAAUAUAAAGAUUUGAAAAAUUCUUUAUUUAUAAAAACAUUAAUUUAUGAUUAUUUGAUCCAAUAUUUUUGAUUGUAAGAUUAAGUUACCUUAGGGAUAACAGCGUAAUUUUUUUAAAGAGUUCAUAUCGAUAAAAAAGUUUGCGACCUCGAUGUUGGAUUAAAAAUUAUCCUAGGUGCAGUAGUUUAGGAAUUUGGUCUGUUCGACCAUUAAAUUUUUACA